rnacentral:rRNA from 1 species
GACAGAGGGUGCAAACGUUGUUCGGAUUUACUGGGCGUAAAGGGCGCGUAGGCGGCGACUCAAGUUAGAUGUGAAAGUCCUGGGCUUAACCUGGGGACUGCAUUUGAUACUGGGUUGCUUGAAUUCGGGAGAGGAUAGCGGAAUUCCCAGUGUAGAGGUGAAAUUCGUAGAUAUUGGGAAGAACACCGGUGGCGAAGGCGGCUAUUUGGACCGACAUUGACGCUGAGGCGCGAAAGCGUGGGGAGCAAACAGG